AGGAUUAGAUGGUAUGACGGGUUU
rnacentral:siRNA from 1 species